GGGGAUUUAGCUCAGUGGUAGAGCGCUUGCCUAGCAAGCGCAAGGCCCUGGGUUCGAUCCCCA
rnacentral:tRNA from 1 species